rnacentral:rRNA from 1 species
GUGCAGCAGGCGCGAAACCUCCGCAAUACACGAAAGUGUGACGGGGCCAUCCCGAGUGCCGUCCGCUGAGGACGGCUUUUCCCCAGGUGUACAACAGCUUGGGGGAAUAAGGAGAGGGCAAGCCCUGGUGUCAGCCGCCGCGGUAAUACCAGCUCUCCGAGUGGUGGGGACGCUUAUUGGGCCUAAAGCAUCCGUAGCCGGCUGGGCAAGUCCUCCGUUAAAUCCAACGAUUCAAUCGUUGGGCUGCGGGGGAUACUGUCCAGCUUGGGGGCGGGA